UGAUCCUGGCUCAGGACGAACGCUGGCGGCGUGCCUAACACAUGCAAGUCGAGCGGGGAUGGUAAGGAGCUUGCUUCGGACCAUUCUAGCGGCGGACGGGUGAGUAACGCGUGAGCAAUCUGUCCUGCACAGGGGGAUAACACUUGGAAACAGGUGCUAAUACCGCAUAAGACCACGGAGCCGCAUGGCGCAGGGGUCAAAGGAGCAAUCCGGUGCAGGGUGAGCUCGCGUCCCAUUAGAUAGUCGGCGGGGUAACGGCCCACCAAGUCGACGAUGGGUAGCCGACCUGAGAGGGUGAUCGGCCACACUGGGACUGAGACACGGCCCAGACCCCUACGGGAGGCAGCAGUGGGGAAUAUUGGGCAAUGGGCGAAAGCCUUACCCAGCAACGCCGCGUGAGGGAAGAAGGUUUUCGGAUUGUAAACCUCUGUCCUGGGGGACGAAGGAAGUGACGGUACCCCGGGAGGAAGCCCCGGCUAACUACGUGCCAGCAGCCGCGGUAAUACGUAGGGGGCGAGCGUUGUCCGGAAUUAUUGGGCGUAAAGGGCGCGUAGACGGCCGAGUAAGUUAUAGGUGAAAGCCCAUCUUUCAAGGAUGGAAUUGCCUGUAAUACUGCCUGGCUUGAGUGCAGGAGAGGGAAGCGGAAUUCCUAGUGUAGCGGUGAAAUGCGUAGAUAUUAGGAGGAACACCAGUGGCGAAGGCGGCUUUCUGGACUGUAACUGACGUUGAGGCGCGAAAGCGUGGGGAGCAAACAGGAUUAGAUACCCUGGUAGUCCACGCCGUAAACGAUGGAUGCUAGGUGUGGGAGGUAUCGACCCCUUCCGUGCCGGAGUUAACGCAAUAAGCAUCCCGCCUGGGGAGUACGGCCGCAAGGUUGAAACUCAAAGGAAUUGACGGGGGCCCGCACAAGCAGCGGAGCAUGUGGUUUAAUUCGAAGCAACGCGAAGAACCUUACCAGGACUUGACAUCCGAUUAAAGCGGUGGAAACACCGUGUGGCUUCGGCCGAAUCGAGACAGGUGGUGCAUGGUUGUCGUCAGCUCGUGUCGUGAGAUGUUGGGUUAAGUCCCGCAACGAGCGCAACCCUUAUUUCCAGUUACUAACAGGUAGAGCUGAGGAUUCUUGGAGAGACCGCCGGGGACAACUCGGAGGAAGGUGGGGACGACGUCAAAUCAUCAUGCCCCUUAUGUUCUGGGCUACACACGUGCUACAAUGGUGACUACAAAGAGAAGCGAGAUCGCAAGAUGGAGCGGAUCUCAAAAAAGUCAUCUCAGUUCGGAUUGUGGGCUGCAACCCGCCCACAUGAAGUCGGAGUUGCUAGUAAUCGCGGAUCAGCAUGCCGCGGUGAAUACGUUCCCGGGCCUUGUACACACCGCCCGUCACACCAUGGGAGUUUGGAGCACCCGAAGUCAGUGAGGUAACCGCAAGGAGCCAGCUGCCGAAGGUGAGCCAGAUGACUGGGGUGAAGUCGUAAAAAGGUAGCC
rnacentral:rRNA from 1 species